rnacentral:rRNA from 1 species
AGCUCCAGCAGCGUAUAUUAAAUUUGCUGCGGUUACAAAGCUCGUAGUUGGAUUUCUGCCGAAGGCGGCCGGUCCGCCCUCUGGGUGAGCAUCUGGUUUGCUGUCGGCAUCUUUCCGGGGAAUAUGACUGCGCUUUAAUGUGUGGCAUGUUGUUCAGGGCAUUUUACUUUGAGGAAAUUAGAGUGUUCCAAGCAGGCUCAUGCCGUGAAUAUGUUAGCAUGGAAUAAUGGGAAUGGCUCCCGCUUUAUUUUUAUGGGUUUCUAAAGCUGAAGUGAUGUUUAAGAGGGACAGUUGGGGGCAUCUGUAUUUAACUGCCAGAGGUGAAAUUCUUGGAUUUGUCAAAGACAGACUACUGCGAAAGCACUUGCCAAGCAUGUUUUCAUUG